CACAUUAGAUCAGAAAACCUUGGGAGAACAGAUCCAGCCCAAAGGAUGUGCUAGGCUCUCACCAAGCCAGAGCCAUCUGAACCGAGGCUCCUCGUCUUUGGAAACUGUGUCCCUGGAAAUCUUAGGGGCCGAAAUGAAGGUCUGGUCUUGGAGCAGCCACGAGGCCUGGAGAAUCUCAGCAAACACCCUGCACAGGAUUCCCGGGUGACUUCAGGGCCUGGCCUGUCAGCUCUCCCAUUCUUUGGGAAUAGAAUGAGUCCAGCCUGCGACUGAUUUCCGAUGUGCUUACUUGAUCUAGGGGCAGUAGGGAGGAGCUACACAUGCAAAUAUGAUUUUACAAGUCAUACUACAGAAAGAAGAAUGCCUUUCCUGAUCUCCAAACAAAAGAGAACACCUGAACCCUCAGUUCUACCCAGGAAUCUGCUAUUGUGAUAGCCCCAGUGGCUCCUUCCUGGUCCCUCACUUCCUUGAGGUACCCUAAAUGGCCGGGUCAGUUUUCUGGAUUGCCUUAGGCUAGCUUCUCCUGUCUCCUAGUCUCCUAAGUGAUGGUCCACUUCCUAAUCCCGCCUCCCACUCGUCCUUUGGAGCCCACCAGCAGGAAGGAAAGCUAAGCAUGCAACAGCCAUGAGCUAUCUCUUUAAGAGAGUGGCCUGACAGUUUGUUUACCAGAUUUGUUUGGGUCUCAGUGGGAGGGAGAAUAAAGAUAAAAAGCUGAAAGAAAGGGGGCAGGGAAGGAUGCCUGAUGCCGAAAGAGGGAGAUGGGGAAAGCUGGUCCAGAGGGGGGAUUUAUUUUUGCAGCAUGGAUUCCAGUCCCCGAGGGACAGUUUCCACUGGGACUUGGGAGAGCUCCCCCUCUCUGAAGCAUCUCCUCCUAGCAGUGGAGACUAGGUGUGGAAAAGAGCCUAGGCGCCCCAGACUCUUUACUUGCUCCAAGCACCUACCACCCUUCCUGGAGUAGGCUGUCGGAAACAGCGGUUAGGAGCAGAGGACCACUGCAAGCCAUUCUGCCAGAAGCCUGAGCCAUAAAUAUCUACUCUGCUGGUGACCAAGUGUUUAUUUGUCCUUGCACAAAAGGCCACUGUAAAAAUUGUCCACUGGGCCAUAGCAGGGGAAGAUGGGAAGACGAUAUCCAAGACUGACCAGCCUCGCUGAAGAGCUAUUAACCCAAUCCAUGUCAGAGGGAAGAGGCUUAAAGGGGAUGCAGCAGCCAGGACCCAGCUAUGGGAUUUUGGGUCAUUGUCCCAGGAAGAAAGAGCGAUGGUAAACACCACUGGCAGAGCCAGAGUCUCCCCUGAAGGUCAGCGCCUCGAAGCCUGAGGCUGAAGCUCGAGGAUCAGGAGCUCAAGGCCAGGAGAGCCUUGGCUAUGUGGGCCAGUGAGUUGGCUUAGCAGGCAGUGGCACCCUGAGAUUGUGGUAGAUCAAGCUCUGGAACCCAUGCAUAGGUGGAGAAGAAGACCCAGCUCCACGAAGCUGUCCUCUGACCACCUCACACAUGGUAUGGCAUGCGCACCCCCAAACAGAAAUCAACAACAACCAAAGAUCUCAACUGGCUUGGGAGCUGCAAAGGGCCAGGCAUGCCAGCCAGAGCACUUCCCUGAAUGGGACCUCAAAAGAAGUCUCGGAGGCGUGGCUGAUGACAACCACUCAGAUUCAUCCAUUGCCUUCUUUGUCAGAAGGACAUUCCCCAAGCACGGAGCCCUCACAGAGAACAGCUAGUCUUUAAGAGGGACUUGAAGAGGUUAUGCAGCUGAAGCAUGGUCAGGGCUGCUUGUGAACUUUCGGGAGCUGGCAGGGAGGCCUGGACCUAGAGAGGGGCUGGGCAGGAUGGAUGCAGGCACAGGGCACCGAAUACCAAAGCAAAUGACCGACAAGAACACAAGGGAAGAGGAGCCCUCUCAGCUUUGGCUGUGCGUCCCGUUGGAUGUUAGAGAUGCAGAUCUGAAGAGAAAGAUGCCAGAGGAAGAAAGAAGUGGCGCCCGUGUGCUAUCGGAUGAGAGUGGAGAGGCAGCAGAUUGGGGGAAGGAGGAGACAUAGCCCACACCCCAGUUAGCCCCCACUGUCCGUGGUGGGGAGCUCUUGCACCAAGCUUGGGAGGUGGGCUGCAUUUGCUCAGGCAUGUGGUGGUGUUGCUUAAACAUCAGAUGAUAAGUGCGGAGGCACGGUCGUCCCAGAUCUGAAGAGGGCCAGGCCCAGCCUUGGCUCCAGCACACUCGAACAGAGCAGCCAUGUGUACAGCAGCCAUGUGUUCCUCCAGGGCUGUCAUUUCAGUGCCUGUCUGGUCCAAGUCAAGGUCUUGUUUCUUCCCAUGGUGGGAGCUCCAGAGGUGAGUCCUAAGCCACAGGGAGAAGCGGCAGCAGCUUAAGGCACCUUGUCUGUUCCCCUUCCUCUCAUUGUUUCUAAAAGACACCGAUAGCCGGGCGUGGUGGCGCACACCUUUAAUCCCA
rnacentral:lncRNA from 1 species